AAUACCGGAAUACAUAUGGGCAAUUGCUUACAUGUCGUGCUACCUUAACAGCUUAUUGAAUCCAAUUAUUUAUUCAUUUCGUAACUCUGAAUUCAGAAGGUCAUUGACAAGAAUGAUUAAAAGUCAUAAAACCUCCUCCAUGGACUUCAUAAAAAGUUCUUCCGACAGAAACUUUGUUGGCAGACGGGCAAGUAGAAAUCGACGUUAUCGACGUAGACUGCAUGAAUGAAUUCCAGAAGCUUGUCACAAUACAAACCAAAUGAGAUUUCAACACGGUCGAAACCAGCACACAAUUCUUUAGAUCAUCUCAUAUAAUGUAUAAGCUUAUUUAAUGCACUGAUGGUCGGGAUUUCGCAUUGUUUAUACUAUUCAUGCACGAAUAAGAUUAUUCAUCCUAUGGCGUUAUAUAGUAAACAUCGUAUUUUCGUAUAGAAUAUAGAUAUUUGGUAAAAUAUCUAAUUGGUAUUGGAAGCAUAUUGUUGAUAAGCUGAUCACAGAAUAGGCUCGUAGUCAUGGUAAAUAUAUUUGACCUGAAAUAAGAUACUCUAAUCCCAUAUAAGUGUUUCAGUACAGAUAACGGUACCGAUACAGUACUACCAAAUUGCCUCACAGAACACAGCAUAUUAUGAUUUAUGCAACGAGUCUCUUAAUAUUGUAAUAUUUAUGGGAGGCGUUUACGAAACAAAUUAUAUGAUGAUAUUAUAUCUUGCUCAAGUAAUUAUUUUCUUCCAAGAAUCUGCAUUGCUAAAACAAAUACAAUUUUAUCAAUUUUAUUUCUGUCAAAUAUAUGACCUUUUCUCCGGUA